rnacentral:rRNA from 1 species
AUUGAACGCUGGCGGCAGGCCUAACACAUGCAAGUCGAACGAGUGGCGGACGGGUGAGUAAUGUCUGGGAAACUGCCCGAUGGAGGGGGUUAACUACUGGAAACGGUAGCUAAUACCGCAUACCAUCGGAUGUGCCCAGAUGGGAUUAGCUAGUAGGUGGGGUAACGGCUCACCUAGGCGGCGAUCCCUAGAUGGUCUGAGAGGAUGACCAGCCACACUGGAACUGAGACACGGUCCAGACUCCUACGGGAGGCAGCGGUGGGGAAUAUUGCACAAUGGGCGCAAGCCUGAUGCAGCCAUGCCGCGUGUAUGAAGGAGGCCUUCGGGUGGUAAAGGACUUUCAGCGAGGAGGCGUUACUCGCAGAAGAAGCACCGGCUAACUCCGUGCCAGCAGCCGCGGUAAUAC